AUUGGCAGCCUGAGUAGCUUUUUACAGCUCCAUACCACGCUGUCACGAAGCUCUGGCGCCCGUGUCACCCCCAGGGUGGAGCAGGUGCUACUGUCCCGGGCUCUGGCCAGGCUCACUCAGGGCCCCCAGUAAGAUCCAAGUGUUCGUGUCAUAGAACCGUUCGUCCCUCUCAGACGUCCUCAUUUUGUCUUUCUCUUUCAAUAGGUACAAAAUGGUGGCCUGCAACAGUUUCCUAGUAGCAAAGGAGACACAGAUAAAAUCGUGCCCAGAACUGGCUACACCAAGAGCAGAGGUUCUGCUGCCCAGCACACUUUGACUUGCGCCAAAAUACUACCUAUCAACUGUUUGUCAAAGACGCUGCCAUUUGUCGCAAGGCUGAACUCUUCCAUGGGUCCCGGACGGACUGUCGUCAUCAAAGGAGAAGUGAACACAAACGCCAAAGGGUGGGUAUCACGGAGUUGCCAG